rnacentral:rRNA from 1 species
AGCAGCCGCGGUAAUUCCAGCUCCAAUAGCGUAUAUUAAAGUUGUUGCAGUUAAAAAGCUCGUAGUUGAAUUUCGGGAUCAAUUAAUUGGUCGUGCCUCUGGUACGUACUGAUUUUAUUGGUUUCUCCCUUCUGACGAACCAUGAUGUCAUUAAUUUGGUGUCGUGGAGAAUCAGGACUGUUACUUUGAAAAAUUAGAGUGUUUAAAGCAAGCUAACGCUUGAAUACAUUAGCAUGGAAUAAUGAAAUAGGACGUUUGAUCCUAUUUUGUUGGUUUCUAGGAUCGACGUAAUGAUUAAUAGGGAUAGUUGGGGGCAUUAGUAUUCAAUUGUCAGAGGUGAAAUUCUUGGAUUUAUUGAAGACUAACUACUGCGAAAGCAUUUGCCAAGGAUGUUUUCAUUAAUCAAGAACGAAAGUUAGGGGAUCGA